ACACAUGCAAGUCGAGCGCACCUUCGGGUGAGCGGCGGACGGGUGAGUAACGCGUGGGAACGUGCCCUUCUCUGCGGAAUAGCCACUGGAAACGGUGAGUAAUACCGCAUACGCCCUUCGGGGGAAAGAUUUAUCGGAGAAGGAUCGGCCCGCGUUAGAUUAGGUAGUUGGUGGGGUAAUGGCCUACCAAGCCUACGAUCUAUAGCUGGUUUGAGAGGAUGAUCAGCCACACUGGGACUGAGACACGGCCCAGACUCCUACGGGAGGCAGCAGUGGGGAAUCUUAGACAAUGGGCGCAAGCCUGAUCUAGCCAUGCCGCGUGAGUGAUGAAGGCCUUAGGGUCGUAAAGCUCUUUCGCUGGGGAAGAUAAUGACUGUACCCAGUAAAGAAACCCCGGCUAACUCCGUGCCAGCAGCCGCGGUAAUACGGAGGGGGUUAGCGUUGUUCGGAAUUACUGGGCGUAAAGCGCGCGUAGGCGGAUCAGAAAGUUGGGGGUGAAAUCCCGGGGCUCAACCUCGGAACUGCCUCCAAAACUCCUGGUCUUGAGUUCGAGAGAGGUGAGUGGAAUUCCGAGUGUAGAGGUGAAAUUCGUAGAUAUUCGGAGGAACACCAGUGGCGAAGGCGGCUCACUGGCUCGAUACUGACGCUGAGGUGCGAAAGUGUGGGGAGCAAACAGGAUUAGAUACCCUGGUAGUCCACACCGUAAACGAUGAAUGCCAGUCGUCGGCAAGCAUGCUUGUCGGUGACACACCUAACGGAUUAAGCAUUCCGCCUGGGGAGUACGGUCGCAAGAUUAAAAC
rnacentral:rRNA from 1 species